rnacentral:lncRNA from 1 species
CAGGGUAUGCCAGCGUGUCUCAGAGCAUUGAUAGCAUGUGCAAUGGCUGUUGAAACUGCUACUACUAUCACACUAGGGCAUCCUACAAUACUUCAUGCCAGUCACCAGGUCACUCAGCUGAUAACAAAUCUCACCACACAACACAUGAGAGCCCAGCGCUUCAGUGGUUAUGAGAUUCUUUUUUUUAAUACCCAGAAUCUGUCUUUUGGAUUAAACAAGGUUUAGAGAAAGAUCAAAAUGAUCUGUUCUCUAAAGAGGGGAGAAUAGGCAUACUUGAAGAAUAGGCAUACUUGAAGCAAGCUGAUUUAUUUUCAUCAGUCAGGCACAUAGCAAGCACCAUUCAAUUCUUCAUGAAUUCAUUUUAUAUUAGGAAUCUCAGGCAGCAUGUACAGUCUUUUGUAAGAUCGUGUGAACGCUGCUCUUUUUACACACUUACAGAUUGAUUUUAUUCAUGUAUCCAAAAUUAGUAAGAAACAGCAAUACUUACUGGUCAUAGUUAAUCAGUUUAGUGGAUGGCAUGAUGCCUUUGUGACAUCUAGGGAGGAUGCUAGUGAAGAUUAUUGUUACUGAAAUUAUUCCCCGGUAUUGCUGCCCUCUGCAGAUUGGCUCUGAUAAUGGCCCGGUUUUUGCAAGUAGGGUUGCCCAGGAACUUGCUAAAUUCUUGCAAGUUACCUGGCAGUUUCAUAUACCCUAUCAUCCACAGAAUACAGGGGUAGUUGAAAGGAUGAAUAGGACUAUUAAGGAAAAGCCCAGAAUUUACCCAGGAACAUGGGUAAAUUGGACAAGAUAUC